GUGAAUAUUUUCCUCCUGGAUUUCAGUAUGGUCUUUGACACCACCUCCAGUAAGAUCCUCUUAGAGAAGCUGUUGAAGUAUGGGCUGGAUGAGCAGAAAGCGAGGUGGACUGAAAAUGAGUUGAAUGGCCGGGCCCAGAGGGUAGUGGUGAGUGGUGCAGUCUGGCGGGAGGGCAGCAACAAGCAGAGUGUCCCAGGGCCAUUACUGGGUCCAGUCUGUUUCACAUCUUUAACGAUCUGGAUGAUGGGACAGAGGGCACCCUCAUUAAUUCAUGGAUGGCACAGAACUGGGGGCAGUGUCCAACUCACCAGACGGCUGCGCAGUGCACACACUGCAGCCCUGCUUGCUCACCCUGGGGGCAGACAGCCACCAGCCCUUUGCCAUUAGUGGUUUAUAGCACAAAACCAAACCUUUCCAUGCUCCAAAUCUGUGCUUAAAGCUGCUUUCAUUCCAGAGUUCUGACUUUGAUGAAUCCUCACCUGCAUUUACCUGUAUCAGUUUUUCAGACAUAAUGCCUGUUUGUGGAAUCAUCCUCAUGAGAAAGUAUUGCUACAAACGUGUCAACAAACUGAAAUGCCCAUAGACACUGCUACAGUCAGGUCUGAUCAUAAAACAUGAGUCACCAUUGUUUGAUCAUUUGCUAGCCCUCAUUUUACAAGUUGUCUCUCCUAGGAAUCAUCACCACGUACAUCUUAGAUUUCAUGCACCCCUUGCAUUUUUGCUUCUUGCUGCCCGAUGCUACGAGUGGGGGAAAGAUGCCCCAAAUGGGCACAAGCGGGAGCUCGCUCCAUUGUGGCAGCCAGCAGUUUGCAGGCAACAUGAAAGAAGCAAAGAAGUUCUGCUGCCCUCCUCUCUGGGUCAGCAGGGCGAUGCUCCCACCUCUCCCAGCCCCGUUCUCCAGGAGCACAGCAAACGCACUCACUGAACAUCGCAGCGCCAGUCCUCGGUGUCCACUUCAUAAACGUGACUUUCUGGAAGGCGUCUUCCAAGCAGCAUUGGAGCCGUGACCUCUCGCUGCCGUAAGGCAUACAGGGAGCUGGGUCCUUUCCAGACAUUCAAGCUGUAGAGUUUGGUCUUUCCUGUUUUUCUUGAAGAACUUUUGGGAGGUCAGAAACGUGUUCUUUGAG
rnacentral:lncRNA from 1 species